rnacentral:rRNA from 1 species
GUGCCAGCAGCCGCGGUAAUACGGAGGGUGCAAGCGUUGUUCGGAAUCAUUGGGCGUAAAGGGCGCGUAGGCGGGACGUUAAGUCCGAUGUGAAAUCCCUCGGCUCAACUGAGGACGUGCAUCGGAUACUGGCGACCUUGAGUCCUGGAGAGGGUAGCGGAAUUCCCAGUGUAGAGGUGAAAUUCGUAGAUAUUGGGAGGAACACCGGUGGCGAAGGCGGCUACCUGGACAGUGACUGACGCUGAGGCGCGAAAGCAUGGGUAGCAAACAGGAUUAGAUACCCUGGUAGUCC